UACGUAGGUGGCAAGCGUUGUCCGGAUUUACUGGGUGUAAAGGGCGUGUAGGCGGGUUAUUAAGUCAGAUGUGAAAUUCCAUGGCUCAACUGUGGCGCUGCAUCUGAAACUGAUGAUCUUGAGUGAUGGAGAGGAAAGCGGAAUUCCUAGUGUAGCGGUGAAAUGCGUAGAUAUUAGGAGGAACACCAGUGGCGAAGGCGGCUUUCUGGACAUUAACUGACGCUGAGGCGCGAAAGCGUGGGGAGCAAACAGG
rnacentral:rRNA from 1 species